AAGCAGGAACAUUACUAUUCGGGGUUGGGGAACACUAAAACUUCAGCACCGGAAAAGACUACAGGAAUUAAGUGUUUUCACUAAUUUUGAUCUUAUGCAGGGGUCUUUGCUGAAGAGCGGACUGUAUGAAAACUGCAAAACCAAGCUCAUUCUGAGCAUCACGAUUUCUUGCUUUAAAACUGAAUUUCAGUUAUCCAAGAGCUGCUAAAUCUGUUUUAAAAGAACUUUUAAGCUUUGAGAGGGCAGGAACAGGAAACUUCAAUCGGAAAGUGAAUUACAUUUUAAGGGCUGAAUGGAAACCACAUGAAGAAAGCAGAUAUAAAUGUCCUUAAUGCAAAUCUGCAAUACUGUUUUUGCUGACUUAUUUUCCCCCUGCUUUCAUGUCCAGCCAGUCAGUCAAGCCUGCUUCAUGUCCCUUACAGACUGCUUGCACUCUGAAGACAUGAAAAUUGAAAACGUUUCAAAGAAUCACAGAAUGGGCAAGGUUGGAAGGGACCUCUGA
rnacentral:lncRNA from 1 species